ACCACCUACUUUGUUCUACUCGUGCCUUAGCACUCCCCCUGUGCCCUGUACUUCCAGAAGUUUAGCCCUUUGUUAGGGCAUCUAGUCUAUAACAUGGCAAGCUACUGUCUAUAACUGAUUUUAGUUAUAUUCUGCUGGAUUUGUACCUCACUCUACUAUAGCACGCUUUAAAAAUGCACAGGGGAAUUGUAGGCAGAGAGGGCACAAAGUACAGCAAAAGAAAAGUACACAGCAAGUUGUGUGUCUGGGAGGGUCAGGAAGGAGUCACACACGGUGACACCACAUCCAAGGGCAAAAUUACUUUCUUUAUUGAACAUAUUUUUUAAUCCCGCCUCUCUCCUUCAAAAGGACCCAAGUUAUGAUCGUUCUUGAUACAAAGCCUCCGGAACUACUGAGUACAGUACUGUGCGCCAGUUAUCCGCCCGAUGCCCUUAUUAGGAGGAAAGGCCCUAAACCUCCCCUUCGAUGAGGAAAUCAGAUCAUAAAUAUCCUCCCCGCCACCCACCCGCACCCAGAGGUGGUUUAAGCGUGCAAGAGGCGGCCUGAGGCGUCCUCCCGGGAGCUGCCUCAGGACCCAGCCUCUCUCUCCAAAAAGCCGCUCCCUUCGACCGUCUCGGCACCUGCUCGAACUUGAGCGGCUCUUUGCUUUAUGAACAGCGAGGGCUCCUCCGUCGUCUCCGGACAGCCCCGAACGAGGAGAGUCGUGGGGAAGGUUUGAGAGAGAGAAAGAAAAGAGUUCACAGGACCAGCGAAACCGCGCCUUUGGAGGAAGAGGCGGCAGCAGCAGCCGCCAUCGCGCGGAUUUUCACUUUCGCUACUUCGAGCGGCCGGGACGCCGGGACGACGCGACGGCCAUGUGGGGACUGUUCUGGGCUCUGCUCCUGCUUCUUCGGUUGGAGCUUCCGCUCGGGGCCUCGCCAGAAGAACAGUGUCAUCAGAAUACCAUCGGUGGCAUUGAAGGAAAAGAUAUUGCUUUACACCCAAAUGUUAGUGGCUCGCCAGCAGAGAUUACCUGGAUGAAAGACAGAAAUAUAGUGGCUACGUCAAUUGAUGGUUUUCCAACAAAGAACAAUUUAGAGCUUAUCGUUAAUAAUGGUAGUUUGAUUCUCCACAACCUGUCACUGAAAGAUGUUGGAUGUUACAAAGCUGAAAUUGAAGUUAAAGAUGAAGUAACAGAAACAUUUUUUGGUUUGAAAGUAUUAGAUGAUCCUAUGCCAUCUCCAGAAGGAGGAAACAUAAGUGAUAAUCAGCCAGAUGUUAACCUAGACUCAGCUGAGAACUUGGAAGGAAGCAGAGAGGAAUCGUCUCCACCAGAAAGUUGA
rnacentral:lncRNA from 1 species